rnacentral:rRNA from 1 species
CAUUACAGAGUUGCAAAACUCCCUAAACCAUUGUGAACGUUACCUAUACCGUUGCUUCGGCGGGCGGCCCCGGGGUUUACCCCCCGGGCGCCCCUGGGCCCCACCGCGGGCGCCCGCCGGAGGUCACCAAACUCUUGAUAAUUUAUGGCCUCUCUGAGUCUUCUGUACUGAAUAAGUCAAAACUUUCAACAACGGAUCUCUUGGUUCUGGCAUCGAUGAAGAACGCAGCGAAAUGCGAUAAGUAAUGUGAAUUGCAGAAUUCAGUGAAUCAUCGAAUCUUUGAACGCACAUUGCGCCCGCCAGUAUUCUGGCGGGCAUGCCUGUUCGAGCGUCAUUUCAACCAUCAAGCCCCCGGGCUUGUGUUGGGGACCUGCGGCUGCCGCAGGCCCUGAAAAGCAGUGGCGGGCUCGCUGUCGCACCGAGCGUAGUAGCAUACAUCUCGCUCUGGUCGCGCCGCGGGUUCCGGCCGUUAAACCACCUUUUAACCCAAGGUUGACCUCGGAUCAGGUAGGAAGACCCGCUGAACUUAAGCAUAUCAAUAAGCGGAGGAAAAGAAACCAACAGGGAUUGCCCUAGUAACGGCGAGUGAAGCGGCAACAGCUCAAAUUUGAAAUCUGGCUUCGGCCCGAGUUGUAAUUUGCAGAGGAAGCUUUAGGCGCGGCACCUUCUGAGUCCCCUGGAACGGGGCGCCAUAGAGG